UGCAUGUAAUUUUCGGUGAGCUGGAACCAAUUACACAAAAACCCAUUGAAACAAUGGUUUCAGAUAACGAGCAACCUUCUGGAAUUCAUUGUGCUCGUUAACCGAGGGACCACUGUACAACAUAUACCUUUACCAAGAGGAUAUUACACCAGCUCUCGUUGGUCAAACCAUAGACCCUAAAACGUUUUGAACGAAUUAUAUGGUACGUGUCAUCGUUGAGGGUCUUAUUCUCCAACCCAAAUCAAUAACGCUCCUAUGAGCGUUAACACAAGGGCAAAAGUACACAUCUCAGAAUUGUCUGAAAGGGAUGGAGAUGGUAUGACUCAGGAAGAAAUUAAGUGUGUUGCUACAGUUGAACAGAAAAAUGCACUCUCAAGCAAGUUAUAUUAUGUGUAGUAAAUCAAAUGGUGUGUACUAGAAUUUAUUUUCCAUGUAGACUGGCAUAUAAGAGGUUUCUGAAUUGUUGGGAGGAUUUAUUUUUAGGUGACUGUUCCUAUAAUUAAUCUUUCAUGUGGUGCAUCUAUGCAUAUACAAGAUAGGAAUUAUAUCUUGCUGUCUUUAGGAAGAUAAAUGUUGUACUCGGUGAAAAGGUGUACCUGUAGUAUAAGGUACAAAAUGCAUCUGAGGAUACAGGUUCUUUUGUGCAGUAAUCACAAAAAUAGUUGUCUGUAUUAAAUCUUAGAAUUGUGUAAUUGCAGUUGAAAGGGUUUCAUUUUUUUUAUACCAUGCCAAGAGGAUAGUUGUCUUAGGAAUACUGUACUGCAUAGUAUAUUUCUUAUUUGGAGUUAAGCUUGCUGUAGAUUUAGAGGAAAAUGUAUUGGUUCUUUUGCAUGUUGACAAUUUAAGUUUCAUGUUAUAUUUAGUGAGUGGACAAAGCUUUAUGUAACUAUGCUGAUGUUCAUAAUAUUUCAGAAGAUUUAAGAGAAAUUUAAAAAAAUGCACUGGAGACCAUUUUUGUGUCAGUUUAUAGCAGGAUUGCAUUUAAAUGCCAGUUUACUAUGGUUUUUCUUUUAAUAUUUAUUGGGAAGAUAUGGAAAUAUGAUAAAUAACAAUGUUUCUAAAAAU